GACGAACGCUGGCGGCAUGCCUAAUACAUGCAAGUCGAGCGAACAGAUGAAGUGCUUGCACUUCUGACGUUAGCGGCGAACGGGUGAGUAACACGUAAGGAAUCUACCUAUAAGCGGGGGAUAACAUUCGGAAACGGGUGCUAAUACCGCAUAAUAUCUUCUUCCGCAUGGAAGAAGAUUGAAAGACGGCUCUGCUGUCACUUAUAGAUGACCUUGCGGUGCAUUAGUUAGUUGGUGGGGUAAUAGCCUACCAAGACGAUGAUGCAUAGCCGACCUGAGAGGGUGGUCGGCCACAUUGGGACUGAGACACGGCCCAAACUCCUACGGGAGGCAGCAGUAGGGAAUCUUCCGCAAUGGGCGAAAGCCUGACGGAGCAAUGCCGCGUGAGUGAAGAAGGCCUUCGGGUCGUAAAACUCUGUUAUAAGAGAAGAACAAAUUGUAGAGUAACUGCUACAGUCUUGACGGUAUCUUAUCAGAAAGCCACGGCUAACUACGUGCCAGCCGCCGCUGUAA
rnacentral:rRNA from 1 species